GAGAAAACAAAAAAUGUAACAACAACUGCCAAGCUGCAAAAAAAGCUGUCAGGAAAUAACUGAUGAUGGUGAUAAUUUAAUAUUUUUGACUUAACCACAUCAAUCUUUGCAUCUAAUGCUGGUACCAGGAUUUUAUUUGAGUAACAAAUGUUGAUAUGGAGGAACGCAAAGAUGUGUGUACAUCUGAGUCUACUGAGAGAGAGAUCCAAAAAUAAUCGUUCAACAAAUGUUAGAUCUUCCAAGCGAAGUGUUUAAAUGUUGAAGAAUGGCAAAGUGACUUGAAUUCUGACUUGAAUCAUGGUUGCUGCUCAACACCUGCUACCCUUUCUUACAAAUCCUGUGCAUUUUUUGCUUAUUUCUGUUUUGCUCUUGAUUCGUCUUGCCAUAUCAGCCACUUCCUUUAAACUUUCCUUCAGGGUUCCUGUUGACCUCCUGCUUUUGUUCCUGAACAGAUUAUAUUUUGACUCUGAUUAGUUUCUUGCUGUCUGGUGUCUCCAAGGGUACAGCGCCACCGAGAGCUAAAAGCUUCUCUUCUAAAGAAAAGAGAUUUGUACCUCCAGAUGCUGGCCUUAAGAAGCCCAAACAAAAGAAAAACACACCAAAUACUGUGAAAUGUAUUUAAAAACUGAUUUUUUGAGGCAUUACCCCAACAUCUGAAAUUUCCAAAGCUUUCAGUUAGAACUGUGUAUGCUUUCACUUCAGUAUCCAUACCUGCCACCUGCGGUUCAUUUUGGGAUAUGAUGAGCUGGGUGGUCUGAAAGUCACUGAAGAAGGAGCUCUGAAAAGCCACCAAAGCAGGCAGAACAUUUAAGCUGACUUCUAAGUUACUUGAUUUCUAAAUCUCCUCCAGGGAUUUUGAGUAUUAUGGUGAACGUUUUGGCCAAGAUUACACUGUUGUUCUGGAGGAUGCUUCUGUUGGUUAACUCAUGUGGUAGUGCUGUUUGUUCUUCUGGUUCCUCAUUUUUUUCCUGCUUUUUCACCACCUGGAGUUGGUUGAAGAUACUAGUUGCGUCAUUUUGUAGGAUACUGUAAGACUUUUUCAGGCAGAGACAAUUAUCUUGCAUGUAUGUGUGAUUCCUCUUCCUGAGCAGAAAAUACUGAAAUAGGCCUGGCAGCAGUAAAUUAAGGAAAAGUUUUAGGAAAUAAAUUACCUUACACUGUUGCAUUGUGUAUUGAUGGGAACAAUGUUUCUUUCUCUUCUUUUGCUUUGUUUAUUCACUAAUAAUAUGUAAAUAAUAAAUGUUUCUUAAAGCUUCU